AGGGCUUGAGUCUGGGGCAGCCUGGCUGCCCAGAGGUAGCAGAUGACACGAAGAAAUAACCAUGUAAGUGCUGGCUGUGUAGGAGAGCAACAUUGGGAAGGAUGAACGCCAACUGUGUUCCAGGAACUUCCACUGUUCUCACACACCCAGGUGAGUGGUGUUCAGGUGGGUAGCACCCAGGUGAGCGGCAUCCCAGUGAGUGGCACCAGGUGAGUGGCAUCCAGGUGAGUGACACCUAGGUGAAUGACAUUCAGGUGAGUGGCAUCUGUGUGAGUGGCAUCAUCCAGGUAAGUGGCACUCAGGUGAGUAGCAUUCAGUUGAGUGACACCCAGGUGAGUGGCAUCCACGUGACUAGCAUCGUCCAGGUGCAUAACACCUGGGUGAGUGGCACCCAGUUGAGUUGUGCCCAAGUAAGUAACAUCCAGGUGAGUGGUG